AAAUUAAUAAAGUCAUAACAAAUUACAAUAACAUCACCGAGCUCCGUUGAUUAAUGUCUAUAUUUUAUUCUAACGCCGCAGCCAUGCAGUGUUCAAAAACGGUUAGGUGGUGUUUCGUGUUUAUAGCUGUUCUGUUUGUACUGACGUUUGUGAUUUGCUUAAAAUAUUCCGACCAUUUUGAAUUCACCAUUUAACCAGUCUUAUAAUUGUAAUGAAUCAAAAACAAGCGUACGAAUUCGACGAAAAAUCUAUAACAUUCAUAAAUAUUUUUCUCGGCUGAACCUAUUCAUUUGUUUUUAUUAUAGUGCAUUAUAUAUUAUAUUACAUUAUAUUAUCAUAUUAUAUUACUGCACCGUGUAUAUACCCACCAUAUAAAUCACACGCAAACGGAUCAUCGAUGAUGGAAAUUCCAUUUUUAGCGUAUUAUAUGCGUAAUCACGGAGAACGAAAAAAACUGUGCUGUGCACUGUGCAGUUGAUGACAUAUUAUAAUAUACCUACACGCAUCAUCAUCGUGAUGGUCACCUGCCACCAGCUGCGAUGUAAUUGAAAAUACGAAGGAACCUGCACUGUGUUUAUAAUAUAUAUUAUUUACAUGGCUAUAGUGUAUACUUGCGACGCAACGUGAAUCGGUUGUAUAGCCGUAUAGGUAUUAGAUCCGCAAGUAUCCAACAUUCAUAGCCAAAUUUGAUCACGAUGACCACCAGUGACGAACCACCAUUGAAUGAUAGUUCAUGAUGAUUGAUGAACAAUCAUAAUUAUAAUCAGGAACGGAUCUAUAUAGGAGGCCGGAUUUACUGCUGUCAGUCUCUAUUAUAAAAAUACAUAAUUAUAUUAUUCA